rnacentral:rRNA from 1 species
CCUACGGGAGGCAGCAGUAAGGAAUCUUCCGCAAUGGGCGAAAGCCUGACGGAGCAACGCCGCGUGGGCGAUGAAGGCCUUCGGGUCGUAAAGCCCUUUUCUGUGGGACGAUAAUGACGGUACCACAGGAAUAAGCCACGGCUAACUACGUGCCAGCAGCCGCGGUAAUACGUAGGUGGCUAGCGUUAUCCGGAUUCACUGGGCUUAAAGGGCGUGUAGGCGGCAUUGCAAGUCUGGGGUGGAAUCCGGUGGCUUAACCACCGAACUGCCCUGGAAACUGCAUUGCUGGAGUCAGUGAGGGGAGGGCGGAAUUCCCGGUGUAGCAGUAAAAUGCGUAGAUAUCGGGAGGAACACCAGUGGCGAGGGCGGCUUUCGGGGCCUAUCCUGACGCUGAGGAGCGAAAGCGUGGGGAGCAAACGGGAUUAGAUCCCCGG